rnacentral:tRNA from 1 species
GGGAUUGUAGCUCAGGGGUAGAGUGCUUACCUAGCAAGUGUGAGGCAUUGGGUUCGAUCUUCAGCAUCACA